UCCGUCGGGUGGAUCAUCAGCGAUGCUAGCGAUCCAAGGAGAUUUCGCCACGGCGGAGAUCCUAAUAUGCGGCGGAGCUCAAUCCGGCGCUUUCACAGCGCGUGCCGUUGACGCACCGGCGCACGGAACCUGCGGUCGAAUCGUCGCUACCGCGCCGGAUCCGGCUUGGGUGACGGAGGAGAUGCCGUUCGGGAGGAUCAUGGGAGAUAUGGUGAAUCUUCCGACGGGAGAGAUUCUGAUCAUAAACGGAGCUCAAGCCGGAAGCCAAGGAUUCGAAAUGGGAUCGGAUCCGUGUCUUUACCCGCUUCUAUACCGACCCGAUCAACCAAUUGGAUUGCGAUUCAUGACACUGAAUCCAGGAACCGUACCGAGAAUGUACCAUUCGACGGCGAAUCUGUUACCGGACGGUCGAAUCCUCCUCGCCGGAAGUAACCCUCACUACUUCUACAAAUUCAACGCCGAGUUUCCCACCGAGUUACGUAUCGAAGCGUUUUCUCCGGAGUAUCUUUCACAGGAUCGAGCCAAUCUCCGACCCGAGCUCCGAGAAAUUCCGCAGAUCGUAAGAUACGGCGAGGUCUUCGAUGUGUUCGUGACGGUGCCGUUGCCGGUUGUGGAGACGAUUCAGAUCUAUUGGGGAAGCGCGCCUUUUGCGACUCACUCGUUUUCUCAGGGUCAACGGCUCGUGAUGUUGACCGUUGGGCCAUCAAUACCUGACGGAGAAGGACGUUAUAGGAUUCAGUGCACGGCUCCACUAACCGGACGCUGGUACGCUAGUGACCAGAUAUUACCGGAUGGUUCGGUUAUCAUCGUCGGUGGGAGAGGAACCAAUACGGUUGAGUAUUACCCUCCUCGCGAGAACGGCGCCGUUCCGUUUCAGUUUCUUGCUGACGUGGAGGAUAAACAGAUGGAUAAUCUCUACCCUUACGUUCAUCUCCUCCCCGACGACGGCGGAAACCUCUUCAUCUUCGCCAACAGCCGCGCCGUCAAAUACGAUCACCGCCUAAACACCGUGGUGAAAGAGUAUCCGCCUCUAGACGGCGGCCCGAGGAAUUAUCCGUCGGGUGGAUCAUCAGCGAUGCUAGCGAUCCAAGGAGAUUUCGCCACGGCGGAGAUCCUAAUAUGCGGCGGAGCUCAAUCCGGCGCUUUCACAGCGCGUGCCGUUGACGCACCGGCGCACGGAACCUGCGGUCGAAUCGUCGCUACCGCGCCGGAUCCGGCUUGGGUGACGGAGGAGAUGCCGUUCGGGAGGAUCAUGGGAGAUAUGGUGAAUCUACCGACGGGAGAGAUUCUGAUCAUAAACGGAGCUCAAGCCGGAAGCCAAGGAUUC
rnacentral:lncRNA from 1 species